rnacentral:rRNA from 1 species
UACAUGGGGUGCAAACGUUUGCUCGGAAUUAUUGGGCGUAAAGCGCGCGUAGGCGGUUACUUAAGUCGGAUGUGAAAGCCCUCGGCUUAACUGAGGAAGUGCACCCGAAACUGAGUAGCUAGAGUACGAAAGAGGGUCGCGGAAUUCCCGGUGUAGAGGUGAAAAUUCGUAGAUAUCGGGGAGGAACACGGUGGCGAAGGCGGCGACCUGGGUCGAGACUGACGCUGAGGCGCGAAAGCGUGGGGGAGCAAACAGG